rnacentral:rRNA from 1 species
GACGAACGCUGGCGGCGUGCUUAACACAUGCAAGUCGAACGGAAAGGCCCCUUCGGGGGUACUCGAGUGGCGAACGGGUGAGUAACACGUGAGUAACCUGCCCUUGACUUCGGGAUAACUUCAGGAAACUGGGGCUAAUACCGGAUAGGAAUCCUUGCUGCAUGGUGGGGGUUGGAAAGCUUCGGCGGUUUUGGAUGGACUCGCGGCUUAUCAGCUUGUUGGUGGGGUAGUGGCUUACCAAGGCUUUGACGGGUAGCCGGCCUGAGAGGGCGACCGGCCACAUUGGGACUGAGAUACGGCCCAGACUCCUACGGGAGGCAGCAGUGGGGAAUAUUGCACAAUGGGCGGAAGCCUGAUGCAGCAACGCCGCGUGCGGGAUGACGGCCUUCAGGUUGUAAACCGCUUUCAGCAGGGGCGAAGCUUGUGGUGACGGUACCUGCAGAAGAAGCACCGGCUAACUACGUG